rnacentral:rRNA from 1 species
CAGCCGCCGCGGUAAUACGUAGGUCCCGAGCGUUGUCCGGAUUUAUUGGGCGUAAAGCGAGCGCAGGCGGUUAGAUAAGUCUGAAGUUAAAGGCUGUGGCUUAACCAUAGUACGCUUUGGAAACCGUUUAACUUGAGUGCAAGAGGGGAGAGUGGAAUUCCAUGUGUAGCGGUGAAAUGCGUAGAUAUAUGGAGGAACACCGGUGGCGAAAGCGGCUCUCUGGCUUGUAACUGACGCUGAGGCGCGAAAGCCAGGGGAGCGAACGGGAUUAGAUACCCGAGUAGUCCCUGUCUCUUAUACA